UUUCUCCUCUCGCUCUCGCUCAGGUUGUCGGCGCAGGAGCUGCGCCGCCGCCUCCUCUCUCUCCUUCCUUCUCUCUCACUUGCUCGCCGCUGUUGUUCGAGAAAGGCGUCACCACCACCUCCUCAUCUUCAAACGGACAUCACCUCUGCAUCACCACCACCUCCUCUCUCUCAACGUGCAUUGGGGCUUGUGGCUGCCGUGAUCAGAGAGCGCUUGGGGGCUGCGUUGGGGACUCAUGGGCGGCGCUAUUGGAGAUGGCUUUCAGGAGCUGCGGAGAGACGCAACGCCGGCAAGGACUUUCGUGAAGGGGAAGGUUGCAAUUGUGCUUGUGGAACAUUUUAGUGAAGAAGGAAAAGUAGUUGAUAUCAAUGCGAGGAUUAUGUCGGCCAUUAAAAGAUAGAUUGUCAUUGAGGCCUCCCCAGGGAAAAUCUACAUUGGGUGGGAGCGCAAUUCUGACGGUGGUGCACCUUGUGUUAGGUUGCUAAGCCAAGGGCAUGCUGAGGGCUUCGUCUCUCAAAGAUUUCAUCAAGAAUGGUGGUAAUUAGUUUUAGAUAUUAAGAACUUAUCUUGCUUUGGUCUUUUGUGAUUUUGUUGGAAAAUUUCUUUUGGUGAUUUUUUAAUACUUGUGAGCUUAUUAUGGAUUUCAUCUUGCAAGUAGAACAUUACCAAGAAUUCAUCUUAUUUAGCAGAAAUUUAUAUGUUGGAAUGAUUUUUGGAAUGGUUGAUUUUAUGAAGAAUCACUCUUGCCAUGCAUUUGUUGUUGUUCUAUUGGUUGGGAUGUUCCUGAAUUAGGGAAGGUCAAACAAGGACUUCUUGAGGCAUUGAUGUGAUUUGUCUUGCAUAUUUCUUGUAGUAAUGUUGUUGUUUUUGUGGAAAUAAAAAACUAAGGGGAAGAGGUUUUCAAGCAUGAAAUUUAUGGUAAUCUAAUAAUACUUAAGUGUAAGAUCACAAAUAGUACUAGUGCCACUUACUUGAAGGACUAUCAAGGUUGUUGGAAAUGUUUUGCUUAAGUUUUUUCUGAUAUGUUUUGAUGCCUUAUAGUUAAUUUUGUUAUUUUAUGGCUUUCUCAAGGCGGAGGGUUGCGAUUGAGCUUGUGGAACAUUUUAAUGUGCGUGCCUUGGUACCCUCUUUUGUCAUGUUUAUCAAUGUUCUCACUUCUCACCAUAACGUUUUUCUUGCAUGCUCACUUAUUUGACGCUUUUGACUUGUUUUUUUUCGUUGAAUAUAUUAAAUAUGUAGAAAGUGUAUAUAUUGCCAAUCACUGCUGCCUUGUGCCCUUUUUGUAUAAGUUCCUUUUUGAUUUUAUAAUUUAUUUUUUUAUUAAUUUAUAAAAUACCUUUUAUCGCAUGGACCUUGUUGUGAAUGUAGAAUAUGUAUUUCGGUAAAGAGUUCAAGUAUGAGGUAGAAAUUAUUGGUUAUAUUGGCAUAGGUGAACUUAAGGAGAAAAUGUUUAGUAUAUGCAUUAAAAAUUGCCUUAAGUAAUUCAGCAUGCACAACUUUUGUGUGAAUUCCAGCAUAUCUUGAAUCACACAGCUAUUUUUGGUAAUCUUUUGUUAACAUGCAACAACCGUACUAGAUGAUUUUAGUUUAUUAUCCAUCUAUUGAAUGUCAUGUUAUUUUUAUGAGAGGUAAAGCUUUAAAAUUUUUUAUUAUGGAGCAAUAAUUAUACUCCUAAAAUUGUUCAAUGCCUUAAAAGUGUUCAAUGCCUUGAAUGAGCAUAGGAAACUGUAAUGUUUUGGGUUCAAACUUGGCCAUAUGAUGGGCCUCAUUUCUGGUCGAACUAUAUAUUUUUUCCCAUCCUAUUUUUCAUGGUUUUGUGCAUUAUUGGUCCAUGUAACAUGCCCAAUUUGUUGCACUAUCAAUGAAUUAUGUAUUUGGCCUAUAUUUGGAGUUUUCU